UUGAUUUUAAAGUUUUAAAUAUUAGUAAAUAAAUAAAUGACCAAUUUUUCCAAUAUAAAAGUUAUUUUUAAGGGGUAAAAAAGAUGAACGACAUUUUGCGAAGGGCCUUCGUGCUUUUAAUAUAACUAGUCUUUAUGUACGUGCUUGGCACGUAUAUUACAUAAAGAGUAUUACAUAAUUUCUAUCCAAUGUAAUAAAAUUAUAAUCAUUCAUCAUCAUAUGAUCAUAUUUAAUCACUUUAAUAUAAUUGGAAGUGCUAUUUAUUUACUUUAAAAACCACAAUUAUAUUUAAAGGCAAACUCGCGGAAGAAAAUUUUAUAACAAAGUAGUAGUAUUUGUUGAAGAAGGAAUUAAUUGUGUUCAAAGUAAGAAAAUAAUCCCUAAAAUUCCUAACCCAAAUUGAAUAAAAAGGUGAUCUCUAAAAUGCCUGACAUAUAUAAAACGGAAAAUAGUUUUUGUUUUUCUUUUGUGUAAUAAAAGAGUUAGUAAGCAGUAGCAGCAGCAACAACAGUGAAAUCACAGCCCAGGGUAUUUCCAGCUACCAAAACUUUCAGAACUACACACCUGAUUCCUUUAUCGCCAAGGAUAUGUAGGUAACUUUUGAAGCAAGGUUCGGUCAUAAAUUUUUCAAAGUGCUUCACACGAAGUACUCAGUCGGACGAAAAUCGUUCAUGUUUGCUCAUUUGUCUUUGCACAAAAACUCUUAGUGUUUUCGCGCAAAAGGAACAAUUGUGAGCAUGUAAUUUUUGACCUGCUGAAACGACUCCCACAUUACUGUAAUGGUUUUUGCACAAAUAAAUCUUUGUGUGCAAACAAUAUUAAAGGACAGGGACUAACUAACCCAAAUAUUAGUUUGUAUUUGUCAUCAUAUGUUAUCUCACACGAAUAUUAUAUAUUUGAUUUUCAGGAGAGAUAUUAAUAUCAAAAAUAGAUUAAGAUAGAGUAACCAAAGAACCAAAAGGAAAAAUACACCAAAAAAUUAUCUUUAAAAAAAGUAUUAGAUAAGAUACAAUCUCACUAUAUAUUUUUU
rnacentral:lncRNA from 1 species